rnacentral:rRNA from 1 species
AUUGAACGCUGGCGGCAUGCCUUACACAUGCAAGUCGAACGGCAGCACGGGGGCAACCCUGGUGGCGAGUGGCGAACGGGUGAGUAAUACAUCGGAACGUGCCCCGUAGCGGGGGACAACCAGUCGAAAGACUGGCUAAUACCGCAUACGCUCCACGGAGGAAAGCAGGGGAUCGCAAGACCUUGCACUAUGGGAGCGGCCGAUGCCCGAUUAGCUAGUUGGUGAGGUAAAGGCUCACCAAGGCAACGAUCGGUAGCUGGUCUGAGAGGACGACCAGCCACAC